AUUGAACGCUGGCGGCAUGCUUUACACAUGCAAGUCGAACGGCAGCGCGGACUUCGGCCUGGCGGCGAGUGGCGAACGGGUGAGUAAUGCAUCGGAACGUGCCCAGUAGUGGGGGAUAGCCCGGCGAAAGCCGGAUUAAUACCGCAUACGACCUGAGGGUGAAAGCGGGGGACCGAAAGGCCUCGCGCUAUUGGAGCGGCCGAUGUCGGAUUAGCUAGUUGGUGGGGUAAAGGCUUACCAAGGCGACGAUCCGUAGCUGGUCUGAGAGGACGACCAGCCACACUGGGACUGAGACACGGCCCAGACUCCUACGGGAGGCAGCAGUGGGGAAUUUUGGACAAUGGGGGCAACCCUGAUCCAGCCAUGCCGCGUGCGGGAAGAAGGCCUUCGGGUUGUAAACCGCUUUUGUUCGGGAAGAAAUCCUCUGGGCUAAUACCCCGGGGGGAUGACGGUACCGGAAGAAUAAGCACCGGCUAACUACGUG
rnacentral:rRNA from 1 species